UACAGAGGGUGCAAGCGUUGUUCGGAAUUAUUGGGCGUAAAGCGCGUGUAGGCGGCUUUGCAAGUCGGGUGUGAAAGCCCUCAGCUCAACUGAGGAAGUGCGCCCGAAACUGCAGAGCUUGAGUACCGGAGAGGAUGGCGGAAUUCCCAAGUAGAGGUGAAAUUCGUAGAUAUGGGGAGGAACACCGGUGGCGAAGGCGGCCAUCUGGACGGAUACUGACGCUGAGACGCGAAAGCGUGGGGAGCAACAGGG
rnacentral:rRNA from 1 species